ensembl:snRNA Rnu6-613 RNA, U6 small nuclear 613
GUGCUCGCUUCGGCAGCAUGUAUACUAAAAUCAGAAUGAUACAGAGAAGAUGAGCAUGGCCCCUGUGCAAGGUUGACACACAAAUUUGUGAAGUGUUACAUAUGUUU